AACGAACGCUGGCGGCAGGCUUAACACAUGCAAGUCGAGCGCCCCGCAAGGGGAGCGGCAGACGGGUGAGUAACGCGUGGGUAACUACCCUUUGGUACGGAAUAACACAGAGAAAUUUGUGCUAAUACCGUAUGUGCCCUUCGGGGGAAAGAUUUAUCGCCAUAGGAUGUGCCCGCGUAGGAUUAGCUAGUUGGUGUGGUAAUGGCGCACCAAGGCGACGAUCCUUAGCUGGUCUGAGAGGAUGACCAGCCACACUGGGACUGAGACACGGCCCAGACUCCUACGGGAGGCAGCAGUGGGGAAUAUUGGACAAUGGGCGCAAGCCUGAUCCAGCCAUGCCGCGUGAGUGAUGAAGGCCUUAGGGUUGUAAAGCUCUUUCACCCACGACGAUAAUGACGGUAGUGGGAGAAGAAGCCCCGGCUAACUUCGUGCCAGCCGCCGCCGUAACAC
rnacentral:rRNA from 1 species